rnacentral:rRNA from 1 species
UACGUAGGGGGCAAGCGUUAUCCGGAAUUACUGGGUGUAAAGGGAGCGUAGACGGUAAUGUAAGUCUGGAGCGAAAGGCGGGGGCCCAACCCCCGGACUGCUCUGGAAACUAUGUUACUGGAGUGCAGGAGAGGUAAGCGGAAUUCCUAGUGUAGCGGUGAAAUGCGUAGAUAUUAGGAGGAACACCAGUGGCGAAGGCGGCUUACUGGACUGUAACUGACGUUGAGGCUCGAAAGCGUGGGGAGCAAACAGG